GAUAGUACCUUACUACUUGGAUAACCGUGGUAAUUCUAGAGCUAAUACAUGCUGAAAACCCCGACUUCGGAAGGGGUGUAUUUAUUAGAUAAAAAACCAACGCCCUUCGGGGCUUCUUGGUGAUUCAUGAUAACUUUACGGAUCGCAUGGCCUUGCGCCGGCGACGGUUCAUUCAAAUUUCUGCCCUAUCAACUUUCGAUGGUAAGGUAUUGGCUUACCAUGGUUUCAACGGGUAACGGGGAAUUAGGGUUCGAUUCCGGAGAGGGAGCCUGAGAAACGGCUACCACAUCCAAGGAAGGCAGCAGGCGCGCAAAUUACCCAAUCCCGACACGGGGAGGUAGUGACAAUAAAUACUGAUACAGGGCUCUUUUGGGUCUUGUAAUUGGAAUGAGUACAAUUUAAACCUCUUAACGAGGAACAAUUGGAGGGCAAGUCUGGUGCCAGCAGCCGCGGUAAUUCCAGCUCCAAUAGCGUAUAUUAAAGUUGUUGCAGUUAAAAAGCUCGUAGUUGAAACUUGGGUCUGGCUGGCAGGUCCGCCUCACCGCGUGUACUUGUCCGGCCGGGCCUUCCUUCUGGAGAACCUCAUGCCCUUUACUGGGCGUGUUGGGGACCAGGACUUUUACUUUGAAAAAAUUAGAGUGUUCAAAGCAGGCCUUUGCUCGAAUACGUUAGCAUGGAAUAAUAGAAUAGGACGUGCGGUCCUAUUUUGUUGGUUUCUAGGACCGCCGUAAUGAUUAAUAGGGACAGUCGGGGGCAUCAGUAUUCAAUUGUCAGAGGUGAAAUUCUUGGAUUUAUUGAAGACUAACUACUGCGAAAGCAUUUGCCAAGGAUGUUUUCAUUAAUCAGUGAACGAAAGUUAGGGGAUCGAAGACGAUCAGAUACCGUCGUAGUCUUAACCGUAAACUAUGCCGACUAGGGAUCGGGCGAUGUUCUUUUUCUGACUCGCUC
rnacentral:rRNA from 1 species